CCUUACAUUUUAGUGUGGUUCUUGAAAAUCAUUAUUCUAAUAUAUAAUGAUCAGACUUAAAAGUUAAGGUUCAUGGGCUCUUGCUGUUAAAUUGCAAGAGCACAUAAUGAGUUAAUUAAUUUUUGAUAAAUAGGAUGGCAUAAAAAUACAGAAUUGCACAGCAGAGAAUCACAUAAAUAAAACUGAAGAUAAACUGGGACAAUGUGGAUAAGCACUUAAAGGAUGAACAGCCUUAGGGAGACAGAGGUCACACAAGUUAUAAGGAGGAAAGGUUCAUCAGGAAGGAGGGGAGCAGUCAGACUGCAGCUGAACUCUCACAACCUUUUUAUCACUUGUGACCAAGGAAACACAAGUGACAUUCGUGAGAUAUGAGCUUUAAAAACCAAGUUAACAGGGUUUUCUGAGGUGCGUAUACUCAGUAUUUGCAAAGUGUGAACUGGGGGCGUCGGCAGCAUAAUUUUGCAUUUUGUAUCAAGAACUUAAAAAAUGCUCAUGCCCUCCACUCCUAGAUUUCACUUGUAGGGAUCUCAGAAAUUCUGAAAAUGAUUUGUGUGCAGUCUGUACAUGGGCAUUACUACGUUAAAAAGCAUUUUCGGUAACAUGACAAAUGAUUACAAUAGGCAAAGCAUCACCGCACAGUGUGUAUUUCAACCAUGGAUUUUCUCUUUAAUUAGCUUAUUUUUUAUAAUUUUUUUUUUAUUUGAGAGAGAGAGAGAGAGAACGAGAGAGCAUACAUGUAAACAGGGGAGGGGCAGAGAAGGAGAGAAAAUCCCAAGCAGGCUCCAGACUGUCAGCGCAGAGCCCGAUGCGGGGCUCGAUCCCACAAACGGAUGACGUCAUGAUGCCUCAGAGGGUGAGAUUGCAACUGGAAGCUGCUGCCCAACACCCGACAAGUAUUGUAGGUUGCCAGGUGAGGAGAGACCCUCCCAACUCCACUGAGCGAUACACAAGGUGGAUCAACCAGCUAGCGCCAGACCAGCUUCUCACUCAGGUCUUUACCUCCAAUGGCCCAACUGUGAUCAUGCCCACCUGGUUCUGCUCUCGAGCAUGGUUCUCCUACGUGGGCCCGUUUGACGAAGGCGGGCAGGGUGAGCCAGAGGACCUGUUGUUCUUCUACAGCCACCUCAGAAAGGGCGGCGGGGUCAUCCGCGUGGACCAGAGCCUCCUCCUCUACCGCUACCACCCCAACGCGGCCACACACUCUGUCCUCGAGACCACCAUCUGGACCCAUCGCGUGCGCUUUCUGGAAGAGCGGGCACUGCCGCACUGGGCCACCUUCACCAUCUGGAACGCGGGCAGGCAAGGCCGCCGGCUCUAUCGCAGCCUGACAGCCGGGAUGCGGCGCAAGGUGGUUGCUUUCUGUGACGUGGACGAGAACAAGAUCAGGAAAGGCUUCUAUUGCCAUGAAGACUCUCAGGAAAGGCCGAAGCCUCGGGUUCCGAUCCUGCACUUCCGAGCUGCACGGCCGCCCUUCGUCAUCUGCGUGAAGCUGGACCUCACCGGGGGCGCAUUUGAGGACAACCUGCGGUCGCUACACCUGCAGGAGGGCCGGGACUUCCUUCACUUCAGCUGAGGGCCUGGACAGCUGCCUCCAGGUGCGCCAAAGGCCCCCAGCAGCCACAGCCCAGGAGAGAGAUCGAGGGCGCCAGGGAGGGUGGCCAGUGGUCCCAAGAGGGAGCACGCCAAGCGGGAGGUGGCACCGAAUGCGUGUGGGGCUGGCCCUUCACCUGGAGGGCACGCGCCUGUGUUUCUAACCAGGGUGUGGUGGACACGUGGUAAAAUGAGGGGCUGUGAGCACACGGCCUGAGGAGCGUGUCCCUGACCGUCUGUGGGGCGCAUACUCUCCUCUGCCGCUGGGGGCCCCGCACCGCCAUCACCCAGCGUGUCUGUCCUGCCAGGAGCUCGUUAGCUCACGCUCCUGACGGACCCUGUGCCACGAGGACAAACGCUGCUGGGGGCUGCAGUCCGGCUGUCUGUGUCGAUCUCAGGCCAACCCAGGGGCACGGUUCCCGUAUGACUCGGUUAGAGAUGUGGAAACACAGACCAGCAACUGAGAGCGCAGGCUGUGCGCUCAGAGCUCGCGGGGCGGUGUCUUCCGGUCCCGUGAGGUGGCAGAGACUCAGCAUGGGAAAGGGGCGCUCAGGUGGCCCACUGGCUGGGGGAGCACGUCUGGCUUUCUCUGGUGAGGGAGCCAGCUUCCUCUUUGCCUCCGGACUCAAGGCCGUUGACAUGCUGCCUCGUCGGCGACUUCUGCCGGAGGUAGUCAGGAGCCUGCGCCGAGAGCUCAUACGAGGAAGGCCGGGAUCCCGGGCUCGCAGGGUCUGUGUUCCGAGUGCAAAGCUCGGGGGGAGGACCAGCAUCCUGCCACAGUGCUCAGUGUCUUCCAGAAACAUGUCUGCUCAUUAUACUGCCUACCUUUUGCUACUCUUGUCUGUUUUCAAAUUCUACUUACUCCCCACAUUAGCCACCAUUCGUUUUGUGUACCCGGGGUCACUGUCUGCUGACCGUGCCUCCCUGCACAGAGACGCUCGGCUGCCCACGCUUUACCCAGGGUGUCACCGCCGUCCCCUUUUGUCCUCAUUCACGCCACCGCGGAGGGCACAACCACACAGGGUUGCCCAGCUUGGCGUAACGUCCUACCCCCAGGAGGCCACCACAGCGAAGCUUCGCCACCAGUGUCGGGCUGGGCAGACACGGAUACUCAGGAUGCAGCAGCUGCUCACGGGGACUGAGCCGUGGCCGUGUGUACACGUGGCCCCGCCAGCCCCCCUGCAUGUUCCACCCCAGGCACACUGGCUUCCUGCUCCCCAAGCUCACCAGAUGCUCCUCUCUGUCGGGCGCCCACCUGCUCACUGCUCCUUUGGAGGGUUUCCCGACUGCUUCCCUCCAAGACAGCCCAACACACUGGCCGUCGCGUGUGGUUCUGGGCCCUGGAGCUGCUGACCGGGACGGUCCACGUUUGCUCCUGGCCACACUCCCAAGUUGUGAGUGCACAGAGCCCCCGUCUUGGAUCCGUCACCCGGACCCAGGGGGGGCUCCAGAACCUGCAGCUGCAGGGAGGGUGACCCCGGUCACCUGCGUCCAAGCGAGGGUGACCCUCAGGGUCCGAUGUGGCCAAGGGUGAGCAGGGGCGCUGGGCCGUGUGCGGCCCGUGGUCCGUUCGGCUUUCCUCACGCUGGCGGGUAAAGAGCUCUGAGAUGCAGGGCCUCUGCGGGUCUGUAUGCAGCGACCGGUCUCCGUGUGUCCAAAAGGGCCCUUCUUUGGAAUCUUGUGGAUUUUUAAACACAAGAAGCAGUUCAUUUUCUUGUUUCUCAGAAGCCGCGUGCUGGGUUUUCUGCAGCCAAGGUCCAGACGCUGCUCUGCAGGGCCGGGCUCCCCACCUGCCGUCCUCCAGCCCCCGCCAGCAAGGGGUCCUCUAGCUCGUCCCCCUCUAACUGGUCCCCCACCUAUGAUGGAGUAAAAUGGGAACUCCCUACUUACUUCAGAGAAGGAAGCACGUCUUAAGGCUCGAGAUACAGUGAAAGUUAAUUCACAAAGUAACAUACGACUUUCCCUUCCAGAGGGUCUGACGGGACGCCGUCAGGGGAGCACACAAGGUGAACGUUCCCACAUGGUGCCUCGGCCCAGGCAAGGAAACCACUCCCGCUGAAGGACGCAGCAAAAGCACCUGCCGCUCGGCCCCCGUCCCCGUGCACGCCGGAGAGGGCAGCUGGCUCCCCGGCCCUGACCCCGUCGGUCUUGGCGCGGGGCCCCGACCCCAGCGCGGCCACUGCCUUCGCCUCCGGUGCGGGCGGCAGCUCCCGCGUCCAGCCCGCAGACGAGGCGCAGCCCCGCGAAGCACCGUGCACACCAGCCUCACUGAGGGGCCUGGGCUCUGGGGAAGACACACCUGGCCAAGGUGAGCGGUGCACCGUAGUGCUUCCCCACAUCACCGGAGAACCCGAGAUCCGAGGACACACGCUCGCAGGGCUGUUCGCUGGGUUCCUGACUCCCGACUCGAGACUCUGCUGUGGGGGCGCAGCCGGGCUCAGGCAGGAUGCUUGGAUUGCCCACAACCGUGUGAGGGUAGGUGACCACGUGCAAC